rnacentral:misc_RNA from 1 species
GAUUUGUCAUAGACAUUAGAUCUAAGGUACACCAGUCUUCCAGUGCUGAAGCUGUCAUAUUGCCGACCACAGCAUAUUGGUAAUGGUUUCCGUUGACACAAGGAACAAUAUCCACGUAAUCAGCCGAUUCCACUGGAGUUUCGCAAACUCACAAACAUUACAUCCUCUGAAAUGUUUGACGGCUUAUAUGGAUCUUCACUACUGAAGUUGAAAUAGUUUAAAGUAUAUAGUGGAAGUGAGGAGCAAUUCUCAUCUUGGACACCAACAUCAACUAUUCGGAUUGUUGAACUAUUGUAAUUGAUGGCCUUGACGU